UACGGAGGGUGCUAGCGUUGUCCGGAAUUAUUGGGCGUAAAGAGCUCGUAGGCGGUCUGUUGCGUCCGCUGUGAAAACCCGGGGCUUAACCCUGGGCUGGCAGUGGAUACGGACAGACUAGAGGUAGGUAGGGGAGAAUGGAAUUCCCGGUGUAGCGGUGAAAUGCGCAGAUAUCGGGAGGAACACCGGUGGCGAAGGCGGUUCUCUGGGCCUUACCUGACGCUGAGGAGCGAAAGCGUGGGGAGCGAACAGG
rnacentral:rRNA from 1 species